GACGAACGCUGGCGGCGUGCCUAAUACAUGCAAGUAGAACGCUGAAGAGAGGAGCUUGCUCUUCUUGGAAGAGUUGCGAACGGGUGAGUAACGCGUAGGUAACCUGCCUUGUAGCGGGGGAUAACUAUUGGAAACGAUAGCUAAUACCGCAUAACAAUGGGUGACCCAUGUCAUUCAUUUGAAAGGGGCAACUGCUCCACUACAAGAUGGACCUGCGUUGUAUUAGCUAGUAGGUGAAGUAACGGCUCACCUAGGCGACGAUACAUAGCCGACCUGAGAGGGUGAUCGGCCACACUGGGACUGAGACACGGCCCAGACUCCUACGGGAGGCAGCAGUAGGGAAUCUUCGGCAAUGGGGGCAACCCUGACCGAGCAACGCCGCGUGAGUGAAGAAGGUUUUCGGAUCGUAAAGCUCUGUUGUAAGUCAAGAACGAGUGUGAGAGUGGAAAGUUCACACUGUGACGGUAGCUUACCAGAAAGGGACGGCUAACUACAUGCCAGCAGCCGCGGUAAUACGUAGGUCCCGAGCGUUGUCCGGAUUUAUUGGGCGUAAAGCGAGCGCAGGCGGUUUGAUAAGUCUGAAGUUAAAGGCUGUGGCUCAACCAUAGUUCGCUUUGGAAACUGUCAAACUUGAGUGCAGAAGGGGAGAGUGGAAUUCCAUGUGUAGCGGUGAAAUGCGUAGAUAUAUGGAGGAACACCGGUGGCGGAAGCGGCUCUCUGGUCUGUAACUGACGCUGAGGCUCGAAAGCGUGGGGAGCGAACAGG
rnacentral:rRNA from 1 species